UGCUCACUUCACUCCCCCUGAAGUCAGACGAUCCCAGCGCACAGCGCACCAGCAAUCAGGAGCCGAGCCGCAAGCCCGCAGCUUGUUUUCAGGCUGCGUCACGCCUCCUCCCUCGCUCCCUCUCUGCCCAUCGAGCCCUCCUCCUCCUACCAACCAUCGCGGCGCGCGGCGCAACCCCGACCCCGAUAGACAAAGCGCGCGCCAUCGCGUUCACGGCACCUUAUACCUACCGUCCUUAGGAAGCGGACCGAAAGCACCGUGACGCUCGAUCGACUAGCUGCUGCGGCGUGGAGCGUCCCCCCCCCCCCCCACCGGCGGGUGUCGUGACGCUGCGCGAGCGAUGGAGGUGACGCUGCCGCCAGCGGUGGCGGCAGAAGAGGAGCGCCGCGCGGCGACGGGGACGUGCCUCCCCAGGCUGGUCUACGGCGUGCUCUCCGGAGCCCUCACCGGUCUCUUCGCCAUCGCUGGAGGCUUGACGGGGGCGUUCACCGGCGCAUUGGCGGGGAGGGCUUCGGACUGCGGCGUUCUCCGGGGAGCCAGAUUGGGGGCGUUUGCAGGGGCGGUGCUCUCCAUCGAGGUUCUGGAGGCUUCUCGCGCGUACUGGUGUGCGGACCGAUCCAAUCCGCAGAGCACAUCCUCAAUGGGGGAUUUCAUAGAACAACUCCUUCAUGCUCGAUUUAUGCAAGAGCAGUAUGAACCAUCGGUAUAUAUGGCAUAUCAAUGGCAGGUUGGUAUUGCAGAGUUUAACAAUGAUGAUCUGUACGAUGUCCUUGAAGAAGUUUUAUCCGAAGGGCUCUCACAAGAUACCCUAAAGAAGUUACCGUAUCAUGUGGUGACUGAUCAGAAGCAGGAAUUGAUUGGUGAAGACUUAACUUGCGCUAUUUGCCUGCAGGUGGGUAGUCAAUCAGUCAUGGGGGUAAUAUAAAUUGACACUCGUUACUUGUUAGAUGACUUGAAAUCAAGAUGAUGGAAGUUGUACUGGGAGUGUCCAACCUCUCUGUUUGAUUUAAGACCACUCAGGAUACUGUUACUGGAGAGACAGUGAGGAAGUUGCCGAAGUGUUCUCACACUUUCCAUCAGCCUUGCGUGGACAGAUGGUUCAUUGACCAUGCUUCAUGCCCUGUAUGUAGGCAAGAAGUGUAGCUUUUGUAAAGUGCCUACUCUCAUCAUAUAGAAAGAUACGCAGAGAUGUAAAUUAAUCCUUACACUUCUUUAUAUCAUGAAGAUAGUUAUAUACAUCAUAUAUAUCGAGGAUCAUGUAUUUUCAAUCACUCAUUUGAGAAUCAAAAUCGGUAUAAGUUUGUUCUGCGGUCC